rnacentral:rRNA from 1 species
UACGUAGGGUGCGAGCGUUGCCCGGAUUUAUUGGGCGUAAAGGGCGCGUAGGCGGCCACGCACGUCCGUUGUGAAAUCGCCCGGCUCAACUGGGCGGGGUCAGCGGAUACGGUGUGGCUCGAGCAAGCUAGGGGGCAAUGGAAUUCCCGGUGUAGUGGUGGAAUGCGUAGAUAUCAGGAGGAACACCGAUGGCGAAGGCAGGUCUCUGGGCCGCAACUGACGCUGAGGAGCGAAAGCAUGGGGAGCGAACAGG